rnacentral:rRNA from 1 species
AGCCUACGGGGGGCAGCAGUGAGGAAUAUUGGUCAAUGGCCGAGAGGCUGAACCAGCCAAGUCGCGUGAGGGAAGACGGCCCUACGGGUUGUAAACCUCUUUUGUCGGGGAGCAAAGCGAGUCACGUGUGACUCAUUGAGAGUACCCGAAGAAAAAGCAUCGGCUAACUCCGUGCCAGCAGCCGCGGUAAUACGGAGGAUGCGAGCGUUAUCCGGAUUUAUUGGGUUUAAAGGGAGCGCAGGCGGAGGGGCAAGUCAGCGGUCAAAUUGCGGGGCGCAACCCCGUACGGCCGAUGAAA